rnacentral:rRNA from 1 species
AUUGAACGCUGGCGGAAUGCUUAACACAUGCAAGUCGAGCGGGGUGUAGCAAUACACCUAGCGGCGGACGGGUGAGGAAUACAUAGGAAUCUGCCUCAGAGCGGGGGAUAGCCAGGGGAAACCCUGAGUAAUACCGCAUGAUGUCGCAAGACCAAAGUGGGGGACCGCAAGGCCCCAAACUCUGAGAUGAGCCUAUGUCUGAUUAGGUAGUUGGCGGGGUAAUGGCCAACCAAGGCGACGAUCAGUAGCGGGUCUGAGAGCGACGAUCAGCCACACCGGAACUGAGACACGGUCCGGACUCCUACGGGAGGCAGCAGUGGGGAAUAUUGGACAAUGGGCGCAAGCCUGAUCCAGCAAUUCCGCGUGGGUGAAGAAGGCCUUCGGGUUGUAAAGCCCUUUAAGUUGGGACAAAAAAAUCGGCGAUAACAUCGCCGGUCUUGAUGGUACCGACAGAAUAAGCAACGGCUAACUCUGUGCCAGCCGCCGCAGUAA